UGUGCUAAGGUAGCAUAAUCAUUUGAUACUUAAUUGGUAUCUGGAAUAAAAGACCUGACGAAAAGUUAACUUUCUUUUUCUAGCUCAGAAAUUUUUACAAGAAUAAAAAAAUUCUUAUUUUCUAGAAAGACGACAAGACCCUAAAACCUUUAUUCUAUAAAAGAAUUUUACUGGGGCAGUAAUUUAUAAUUUUUUUUUAAAAACCUAACUCAUUGAAAGACUCUACCCACCAACAGUAUGUUGAAAUAAAAAGGUACUUUAGGGAUAACAGCAUAAUUUUCAUUUAGAGCCCUGAUCGAUCUGAAAGAUUAUGACCUCGAUGUUGAAUUGGGUUCCUGAUUAGAGCAA
rnacentral:rRNA from 1 species